GUUGAAAUACGGAGAUCAACAGCUUGUAACACCGUGAACGAGGUUGAUAUAUUGACACCAGGUCAGUGCCUCCCUAAAAACAAUCGGGUACAGAUUUAACGAUGUUUGCUCAUGAAUAUUCCUUUGAGGACCCUCAAACUGAUGAAUACGACAGCUUGAAGGAGAGAAACUAUCAACUUUCACGGCCAUGCACUCCGUCGGCGGUCGAACAGAAGGCGAAUUGGGCUAUGCCGAAAUACGCCAAAACUUUGCAUCUUCGUAAAAAAGAUUCAAUCCAUGCAUUUUGGAACAGUGUUUGAGUUGCUAAAUGCCUCCAUGUGUUUGUUUUUCUCUGUAAGACAAAUGAGUGGCUGGCUGCAGCUGUGAGCGACUUACCAGUAAUUACCGCUGGCAGUAAAUGCUGCUUCAUUAUCAAGCGAGCAAUUGCUACAGGAGAAGGUUACAAAACAAUUUAGAAACUGAGGCACCGACAAGUUGAUUUUCUUUGUUCGGACAGACUCCUCUCCAGUGCCGAGGUGGUUGACGAACUGAAACUUUUGAAAGGAGAAUCAGAAGUUUCAGCCCGGAUAAAAACAUCUUACGCAGAUUUUUUAGAAUGAAUUGUUCAAAAUAUGGUUUCUGAACAUUCCCAAUCUGUAAGAGUUCCUUAGCCGUGAGAGGGCUUCUUGCCAAUUUCUAGCCUACUCCGGCCAAAAUGAGGUCAAUGGUGUAGACUGGUUCGCGGUAAUCUGCGUUCGACUAUGUACCAUCGCAAGUUUUGCUGUCCUUGAGGAGCGUAUACCCAAAAUUAAAAUAGGUUUGGCCUUGGAAACCAUGAAACAAACUAACGACCCGGCGAUGUUGGUUGAGACCAGCUGUCCCAAUCAGUCCUAGACUUCCCCUCCAGUUAUAUUGACCAGUUAUCUUUCUUGUAAUUGCCUUCUAUUUUGGUCCACUGACUCUAGGCCUAAACAAUCACCUUGUUAAUUGCACCAAUAUUGUACUCUGACGGCCAAAAAAUGGUCGCCGGGGCCCGUUUCCGCACUUUGUUUUAUGGUAAUUGCAAUUUCGUCAGCCAGAACCAAAACCUUCUGGA